rnacentral:rRNA from 1 species
GACGAACGCUGGCGGCGUGCUUAACACAUGCAAGUCGAACGAUGAAGAAAAGAAUCGAAGCUUCGGCAGAAAUUCAUUUCGGAUUAGUGGCAGACGGGUGAGUAACGCGUGAGCAACCUACCUCUUACAAAGGGAUAGCCUCGGGAAACCGGGAUUAAUACCAUAUAACAUUGCGACGAAGCAUUUCGAUGCAAUCAAAGCUACGGCGGUAAGAGAUGGUCUCGCGUCCCAUUAACCGGAUGGUGAGGUAACGGCUCACCAUAGUGACGAUGGGUAACCGGCCUGAGAGGGUGAACCGUCACACUGGAACUGAGACACGGUCCAGACUCCUACGGAAGGCAGCAGUGGGGAAUAUUGCACAAUGGAGGGGACUCUGAUGCAGCGACGCCGCGUGAGUGAUGAAGGAAUUCGUUUCGUAAAACUCUGUUCUAUGGGAAGAAAAGGACUGUACCAUAGGAGAAAGCUCCGGCUAAAUACGUG